AUGGCCACACUCCUGGUGGAAAUUGUGAAUAUGGUCACAAGGCAUUUGCUUCGGGACCGCUUGCCCUCGGGGACAGAAGUCCGUAAGCGCAACGGCCCGGGCGACGGCAUUUGCCCUCUCUGUAGUGUCCCGGAGACGGGCUCUCACAUCAUGUUCUCUUGCAUGGCGGCUAGGGCGCUGUGGAGCUUUGGGCGGGACGCACUCGGGCCCGACUGGGAGGCCGGAGACCUGGCGGAAUUCUUGCAGGCCAGGGCGACCCAGACUGGGCACAAGCGCCGCCUAUUCUGGCUUAUAUUUGCGGCAUUGACGUGGACCCUUUGGACUACUCGCAAUAAAAUGGUGAUUGAGCGGAUCUUCCCGCGACAGGCCUCUAAUUCGUUCUUCAAAUUUCUGGCCUUUUUACAGCACUGGCACCCGCUUGCUAGGCGGCGGGAUCGCGAGCAGCUUGGGUUGAUGAUGGAUGCGCUGGUGGCUUCGGCGCGGCGUCUUUCGGCUCCAUAG
rnacentral:rRNA from 1 species